rnacentral:rRNA from 1 species
UACAGGGGGUGCAAACGUUGCUCGGAAUUAUUGGGCGUAAAGCGCGCGUAGGCGGCCACUUAAGUCGGAUGUGAAAGCCCUUGGCUCAACUGAGGAAGUGCACCCGAAACUGAAUGGCUUGAGUACUAAAGAGGGUCGCGGAAUUCCCGGUGUAGAGGUGAAAUUCGUAGAUAUCGGGAGGAACACCGGUGGCGAAGGCGGCGACCUGGGUAGAUACUGACGCUGAGGCGCGGAAGCGUGGGGAGCAAACAGG